UACAUAUAAAAAUUUAAUAAAAUUUACAUGCUUUUCUCCUGUUAGUCUGUCUUUGUUAGUUUAAUUUUUAGAUCCAGCCAGGGAUUCUAAGAGAGUCAGAAAAACUUUUUCCUCCCUUAUAGGUAGAAAACUGUAAAUUUGGGUCAGCCAUUUAGGGUUAAGUAAAACCAUAUCAGAUAGGGCAUAAGAUAGGACAAGUUCUAUCAGCCCUGGGUACACAUCAGCUCAUAUAAAAUUAGAAAAUUGUAUUUUAUAUGCCAGAGAGUUUUUUUGUGUGUAUUUAUAUAUUUUAUGUUCUCUUCCUUCCUUCCAUUCAUUCUUUUUUAUUUGUUUUUUGUUGUUGUUGUUUAUUUAAAUUGCUAUUUAGAUUAAAAAACCUUUUGUGAAAGUUCCAAUCUGUUUUAGCCAUGUUAAGGGGGAAAUAAAAAAUGAGUUUGUGUCCAUACUUUAGCUAAAAUUAAGGGGCACAGAGUUCAACCAAGGGUCAGGAUAGGGUGGCAGAAACAACCAAAAUAUGAGAGCCUGGAGCAGAAGGUGGAUCGGCUAGCUGUUGGGGCCAUUUGAAGAUCUUACAAAAUAAAAGCCUAAGCAUGUGGCGUUUCCUUUUACCAGUGGACUGGGCUGUACCUUUCCUGGCAAAUCCAGCCCUCUAAAGUGAAAGUAUCAUCACAGUUUCGGGAAAGAUUCAUUGCUGACCUUGAGCUACUUUCAUUCCAGAAUACUACAUCACUGAACAGCUGGGCUGUUGGCAGGUUGAAGCAUCAAAGUGGCGAGGCAAACUGAGUGACACGUGAAGGAUGUUACUGGCUAGCUCUUCCCAGAUGAUGCUGCCUAAUUUUACUGCUGUCACUCUUGUGAAGAUUUAUAGCCAAAAACACAAAAACAGUUUACUAGUUGGACUCUAGAGUGUCAAAUGUUGAGGGAAUCAAUUUAGUCUGAUGGGACUGAUGGGAGAAGAGAAGAAUAAUUUUUCAUUAAUUAAGCAAACGUUUAAUGAGCGCUUAAUAUAAGCUUUACUAGGUGUUACUAGGAAAUAAAGAAAGAGUUAAAACAA